UGGGGAAUAUUGGACAAUGGGGGGAACCCUGAUCCAGCCAUGCCGCGUGUGUGAAGAAGGCCUUAUGGUUGUAAAGCACUUUAAGCGAGGAGGAGGGUACUGGUAUUAAUACUACCAGGUACUGGACGUUACUCGCAGAAUAAGCACCGGCUAACUCUGUGCCAGCAGCCGCGGUAAUACAGAGGGUGCGAGCGUUAAUCGGAUUUACUGGGCGUAAAGCGUGCGUAGGCGGCUUUUUAAGUCGGAUGUGAAAUCCCCGAGCUUAACUUGGGAAUUGCAUUCGAUACUGGUUAGCUAGAGUGUGGGAGAGGAUGGUAGAAUUCCAGGUGUAGCGGAGAAAUGCGUAGAGAUCUGGAGGAAUACCGAUGGCGAAGGCAGCCAUCUGGCCUAACACUGACGCUGAGGUGCGAAAGCAUGGGGAGCAAACAGG
rnacentral:rRNA from 1 species